rnacentral:rRNA from 1 species
CCAGUUUGUUGGUGAGGUGAUGGCUCACCAAGACGAUGACGGGUAACCCGCCCUGAGAGGGCGACCGGCCCACACUGGGACUGAGACACGGCCCAGACUCCUACGGGAGGCAGCAGUGGGGAAUAUUGCACAAUGGGCGAAAGCCUGAUGCAGCGACGCCGCGUGGGGGAUGACGGCCUUCGGGUUGUAAACCCCUUUCAGUAGGGAAGAAGCGAGAGUGACGGUACCUGCAGAAGAAGCGCCGGCUAACUACGUGCCAGCAGCCGCGGUAAUACGUAGGGCGCAAGCGUUGUCCGGAAUUAUUGGGCGUAAAGAGCUUGUAGGUGGCUUGUCGCGUCUGCCGUGAAAACCCGAGGCUCAACCUCGGGCGUGCGGUGGGUACGGGCAGGCUAGAGUGUGGUAGGGGAGACUGGAACUCCUGGUGUAGCGGUGAAAUGCGCAGAUAUCAGGAAGAACACCGAUGGCGAAGGCAGGUCUCUGGGCCAUUACUGACACUGAGAAGCGAAAGCAUGGGUAGCGAACAGGAUUAGAUACCCUGGUAGUCCAUGCCGUAAACGUUGGGCACUAGGUGUGGGGGACAUUCCACGUUUUCCGCGCCGUAGCUAACGCAUUAAGUGCCCCGCCUGGGGAGUACGGCCGCAAGGCUAAAACUCAAAGGAAUUGACGGGGGCCCGCACAAGCGGCGGAGCAUGCUGAUUAAUUCGAUGCAACGCGAAGAACCUUACCAAGGCUUGACAUGCACUGGACGGCUGCAGAGAUGUGGCUUUCUUUGGACUGGUGCACAGGUGGUGCAUGGUUGUCGUCAGCUCGUGUCGUGAGAUGUUGGGUUAAGUCCCGCAACGAGCGCAACCCUCGUUCUAUGUUGCCAGCACGUGAUGGUGGGGACUCAUAGGAGACUGCCGGGGUCAACUCGGAGGAAGGUGGGGACGACGUCAAAUCAUCAUGCCCCUUAUGUCUUGGGCUUCAAGCAUGCUACAAUGGUCGGUACAAUGGGUUGCGAAACUGUGAGGUGGAGCGAAUCCCAAAAAGCCGGCCUCAGUUCGGAUUGGGGUCUGCAACUCGACCCCAUGAAGUCGGAGUCGCUAGUAAUCGCAGAUCAGCAACGCUGCGGUGAAUACGUUCCCGGGCCUUGUACACACCGCCCGUCAAGUCACGAAAGUCGGUAACACCCGAAGCACAGUGGCCCAUCCUCGUGAGGGA